rfam:Veillonella parvula DSM 2008, complete genome.
GAAGCCAUAAUGGGGUGCUCACACAAGUGGGCUGAGAGUAAGCUAAAGCUUUAACCCAUAACCUGAUUUGGAUAAUGCCAACGUAGGGAACAUAGAGGAUUAAUGG